GACAGCAGUAGCCGCGGUAAUACGGAGGGGGCUAGCGUUGUUCGGAAUUACUGGGCGUAAAGCGCACGUAGGCGGCUUGGUAAGUUAGAGGUGAAAGCCUGGAGCUCAACUCCAGAAUUGCCUUUAAGACUGCCGAGCUAGCAGGUGAGAGAGGUAAGUGGAAUUCCGAGUGUAGAGGUGAAAUUCGUAGAUAUUCGGAAGAACACCAGUGGCGAAGGCGGCUUACUGGCUCAUACUGGACGCUGAGGUGCGAAAGCGUGGGGAGCAAACAGGAUUAGAUACCCGCGUAGUCCCUGUCUCUUAUAA
rnacentral:rRNA from 1 species